GGCAUUGUUUCAAGCUUUCUCGGUUUCUCUUUUUUGCGACACUCUCUCAAACUCAUGCUCUCUCCCUCUCAAUUCUUACACAACAACUACGACGCAGAUUCUCUUGGUCUCGAAUUGGUCGGAUUUGGAUUUCAGAACUGAUUCGAAUUGUUAUCGACUCAGAAUUUGAUUCGCGUUGGGGGUUCAGAAUCUAUUUGUGCUUGAAAUUUCAACUCAGAGCAGUUUGAGUUAAAGUUACAGCAAGCAUACGAUAUCAUAAAGCUGAGAAUGGAGGAAUGCUUACGGUUGAAGCGACGAGGAGAAGAAAAUGCAGCUUUCGAUCUUGCUCACAAGGUAUUCGAUAAAAUGCCUCACUGGAAUUUUUUCCUCUUUUUGCUUUUAUUUUACUUUUGAUUUGUUGCUGUUGUGUUUCUUAGUUGCUAUUGAUGUUGGUUUGCAUAUUAGCAUAGAAUUAUUGUCGUUAUUACCAUUUCGUACUAUUGCCGAUGAGAAGUAAUUAUUGUUCAUUGGAAUACAAUUUGUAGGAGUAAUUAUCGUGCUAUUGAGCCCUUUUCCAAUCGAUAGAACAUGUUAGUGGAAAUUCUAAUUAAUUUUCCAAUCAUUAUAGUCUAAAUGGACAUUAAUAAAUUUGUUGCUUUGCUUUCAUUUCAAAUUUUCAAGUUAGUGCCUUCAUACACCAAGGAAAUGAUAAACAUUGAAGAUUAUUCCCACCACAUAGAAAAGUUGCAUGCCGCAUAAAAGUCUUUAAAAAGGGAUGCUAAGUUGCCUGAAAACAAUGAGAAAUGCUCCUGAGCUGACCUUUCAUGGGAGAGGGGGUGAAUAUAUUUUUAGGGGAUUUCAACAAGUAGAACUCUAGCCUUAGCAAAGUAUUUUGAGAGAAUGGAAGAGAGAAGGUAUGUUGUUUCUAUACUUUUGAGUUAUAUGCAACCUGAAAACAGCUGCAAUAGCUUGAUAACAAUUAGAAUUGAAUUGUCACAUGUUCUCAAAUUACUUCAUGCUGGAAAUGGUUUUAUGAGAGGAAGCGGUGUGAAGUUUUUCUCAGAACUGCUUCAUUGGCAGUGGCGAGUAUCAGAGUAAGUUUGUGCUCUGGUCAGUCGAAGCCUCUGUCAGGAGUACAGGGGAGCUAAGUCAUUGCCUAAUAGACUCCUCGUCUUCUUUCUUAAUUGACAGUGUGAUGUUUCUUUCAUAAAUUGCCCGCACUUUGUAAAAGGGCCUAUUUUGAAUCCAAUAAUGAUGUUAGGGGCCAUCAUUUGAAGUAAAUUCAUAAAUUUAUUACUAUUUUAUGAUAUUUUUGGGUUAUGUUCAUCCUCCCUUAUGGUCCUCUUUUGUGAUGCUACUGGAAUAUACAUAUAAAUUUACUUAUCCAAUCUUGGAUCAGUUAUUAUGGAUACACUUCUUUGUGUGCUGCACGAAUUCUAGUAGUAGUUAAUUAAUACUAGAAUAGUGGCUGCCACGUGCCACGUAAUAAGACCAGCUUAUGUUUUCAUGUUGAAUUAUAAUCCAAUGAACAUUUUGUUCCAACCUUGUCCCUAUUGAUGUCCUCAAACAACCUUUUUCUGUGAGUGUGCAUUGCAGCAAAUUAAUUCUUGUAUCGUUCAGCCUCCUAUUUCAUUAGGGGGUGAAGAUUUCAGUUCAAGGUUAAAAUGCUCACUAAAGUUUGAUCUAAAUAUAGUUAAAUCCUCGGUUUUUGGGGUACUGAGGAUGACUCAUCAGAGCUUCAAAAAUCAACAUGAUAUGAGUAGUAGCAGCGGGGCUAAAAAGUCUUAGGAAGCAGUAAACGAGAUAUGCUGGAUCUCAAAUCAAAAAAAGAAGAGGAAGCCUUGGCUAUUGUGGUUACUUCUAGUCCUUGUUUGUCAAGUGUGAACUAUAGGGACUAUGAUUCCCAGGUUUCUAAGUAGCAGGAGAUUUAUGCUGAGCUGGUUCAUAAAAAGGCUAGAGUUUAAGAACAGCUAAAAGAAAUUACUGACUUUGAAUGACAUGGAGUGCCACAAGGGUGCACAAUCGAUGUCCGACUUGUAGACAAGAUCUAGGAGAUAUCAGGUCUCUGGCACUAGAGAAGGUUGCUGAAUCACUUGAGUUACCAUGCAAGUACUACUCUCUUUGAUGUCCUGAAAUCUUUCCAUACUACAGCAAGCUUAAGCAUGAGACGGCGUGCAAUUUUAGACACUACACAUGUCCUUAUGCCGGAUCAGAAUGCCCCGCUGCAGGUGAUAUUAACUUCCUCGUUGCACAUUUGAGGGCUGAUCGUAAGGUCGACAUUCACACAGGAUGCACAUUCAACCAUCGUUAUGUGAAGUCAAAAUCACAUUUGAGCAUUUGGAUGUGCUGCUAAGCAUUUUUUUUAUGCCAGAAAGUAUAAUGUUAUUAAUGUUUGUUUUGAAAAGUCACCAUUUAAGUUAAAGGUCACCAUUAAUUAGAAAUUAUUAUUAUUGGUGGUUCAUGGUUCAUACGUGAUAUUUUCUCGCAACUUGCAUUCCAUUCAUUUAUUUUUCUCUCUUGUAAUUAUUAAUUUG